rnacentral:misc_RNA from 1 species
GGCAUACAGAUUUUAAAAAAUGUGGUGAACCAUGAGUUUUGCAUUUGUUCCCAUGCAGACAUGCACCCAAACAUCCUUCCCCUCACCCUCCCCCUUCCAGAAAGGGGAAAAGAACAAACGGAUAGAAAAGGAAACAGAAUGGUUGGUAAUUCACCAAUGUCAAGAAGGGCACUAGAAAUAAUGGCACUAGAAAUAAUGGCCUUGCAAUGGGAAAAGCAUUGCCAAUGAGCCCAUAAGCAACGCCGACAGCCUAUAAUUUACAGCUUUUCAUUGGCCAUAUGAAAACACUGCCAGAAUGGAUGACCAACUGAAUAAAAUCAAAUUAGGCCACUCUUGUUUAGUUAGCAGAACAUCACAAUAAGGCAAGAGCAGUUGAGUUAGAUUUCCAUAGAAAUGAUUCCCG